CGCCUGCAUGAAGUUGGAAUCGCUAGUAAUCGCGGAUCAGCAUGCCGCGGUGAAUACGUUCCCGGGCCUUGUACACACCGCCCGUCACACCAUGAGAGUCGGGAACACCCGAAGUCCGUAGCCUGACCGCAAGGGGGGCGCGGCCGAAGGUGGGUUCGAUAAUUGGGGUGAAGUCGUAACAAGGUACC
rnacentral:rRNA from 1 species